GGCUACCAUGCAGUCGAGGGGCAGCAUUUCAGUUUGCUUGCAAACUGGAGAUGGCGACCGGCGCACGGGUGAGUAACACGUAUCCAACCUGCCGAUAACUCGGGGAUAGCCUUUCGAAAGAAAGAUUAAUACCCGAUGGUAUAAUCAGACCGCAUGGUCUUAUUAUUAAAGAAUUUCGGUUAUCGAUGGGGAUGCGUUCCAUUAGGCAGUUGGUGAGGUAACGGCUCACCAAACCUUCGAUGGAUAGGGGUUCUGAGAGGAAGGUCCCCCACAUUGGAACUGAGACACGGUCCAAACUCCUACGGGAGGCAGCAGUGAGGAAUAUUGGUCAAUGGGCGCAGGCCUGAACCAGCCAAGUAGCGUGAAGGAUGACUGCCCUAUGGGUUGUAAACUUCUUUUAUAUGGGAAUAAAGUUUUCCACGUGUGGAAUUUUGUAUGUACCAUAUGAAUAAGGAUCGGCUAACUCCGUGCCAGCAGCCGCGGUAAUACGGAGGAUCCGAGCGUUAUCCGGAUUUAUUGGGUUAAAAGGGAGCGUAGGUGGACAGUUAAGUCAGUUGUGAAAGUUUGCGGCUCAACCGUAAAAAUGCAGUUGAUACUGGCUGUCUUGAGUACAGUAGAGGUGGGCGGAAUUCGUGGUGUAGCGGUGAAAUGCUUUAGAUAUCACGAAGAACUCCGAUUGCGAAGGCAGCUCACUGGACUGCAACUGACACUGAUGCUCGAAAGUGUGGGUAUCAAACAGGAUUAGAUACCCUGGUAGUCCACACAGUAAACGAUGAAUACUCGCUGUUUUGCGAUAUACAGUAAGCGGCCAAGCGAAAGCAUUAAGUAUUCCACCUGGGGAGUACGCCGGCAACGGUGAAACUCAAAGGAAUUGACGGGGGCCCCCACAAGCGGAAGAACAUGUGGUUUAAUUCGAUGAUACGCGAGGAACCUUACCCGGGCUUAAAUUGCAUUUGAAUANUNUGGAAACAGNNUAGCCGNAAGGCAAAUGUGAAGGUGCUGCAUGGUUGUCGUCAGCUCGUGCCGUGAGGUGUCGGCUUAAGUGCCAUAACGAGCGCAACCCUUAUCUUUAGUUACUAACAGGUCAUGCUGAGGACUCUAGAGAGACUGCCGUCGUAAGAUGUGAGGAAGGUGGGGAUGACGUCAAAUCAGCACGGCCCUUACGUCCGGGGCUACACACGUGUUACAAUGGGGGGUACAGAAGGCAGCUACCUGGUGACAGGAUGCUAAUCCCAAAAGCCUCUCUCAGUUCGGAUCGAAGUCUGCAACCCGACUUCGUGAAGCUGGAUUCGCUAGUAAUCGCGCAUCAGCCAUGGCGCGGUGAAUACGUUCCCGGGCCUUGUACACACCGCCCGUCAAGCCAUGAAAGCCGGGGGUACCUGAAGUACGUAACCGCAAGGAGCUCCUAGGA
rnacentral:rRNA from 1 species